rnacentral:rRNA from 1 species
AACGAACGCUGGCGGCAUGCCUAACACAUGCAAGUCGAACGAGACCUUCGGGUCUAGUGGCGCACGGGUGCGUAACGCGUGGGAACCUGCCCUUAGGUUCGGAAUAACUCCCCGAAAGGGGUGCUAAUACCGGAUAAUGUCUUCGGACCAAAGAUUUAUCGCCUUUGGAUGGGCCCGCGUUGGAUUAGCUAGUUGGUAGGGUAAAAGCCUACCAAGGCGACGAUCCAUAGCUGGUCUGAGAGGAUGAUCAGCCACACUGGGACUGGGACACGGCCCAGACUCCUCGGGGGGGAAGAGGUGGGGAAAUUGGGAAAAGGGGCGAAAGCCUGAUCCAGCAAGGCCGGGUGAGUGAUGAAGGCCUUAGGGUUGUAAAGCUCUUUUACCCGGGAUGAUAAGGACAGUACCGGGAAAAUAAGCCCCGGCUAACUCCGU